AAUUCCCCUCAACAAAACGAUAAAAGGCAAAAAAAAAAAGAAGAGAAAGCAAAAGCAAAAUCAAAAUCAAAAUCGAUAUAUCAGACAGCCCCUCGACCUUUCUUUCUUUUUUCCUUCUCAUCGUCUCCGUUGAACAAAAACCACACACGAAGAAAACCAGAUAAUUCCCAUGGUGAACAGAGCUCAGAUUUGAAAAUUGAAGGUCGUAGACGUCAGACCAACCGCUAAUCUGGCGACGGCGAACUUCUAAUUCCGGUUACGGAAGGUCGAUUGACUCCAAAACCCUAACUCUUUGUUCAUCCAAAUUUUUUCUAUAAUUUAAGAAGCUAGGGUUACAAAUUGUUAGAGCUGAAUCUUUGAUUAAACCUGAAACAAGAAGAAAGCCUCAAUGAGAAGAAGAAGAUGAAGAAAAGAAGACGACGCGUCGGAGAAGCUGAAAUUGACGGAGAAGAAGGGUCAACGACACUAGAGGAGAAGAGCAUAAGUCAACAAGAAGAAGUUGGGCUUGAGUGUUUUGUAAUAAGAUUGUAAUUGGCCCAAGUGAAAGAGUGUUUCAAUAGAUUUGUUUAAAUAGAAUAGUAUAGUAAGUUAAUGGAAAAGAAAUUCUAUUUAUUUAAUUUUAAAAUUGUUUUCUUUUAUAUUUUGUAAAUUUUACCUAAAAUUUAUGUUUAUAAAUAUUAAUUUAAA
rnacentral:lncRNA from 1 species